rnacentral:tRNA from 1 species
GGCGCGUUGGCAGAGUGGUUAUGCAGCGGAUUGCAAAUCCGCGGACCUCGGUUCGAUUCCGGGACGCGCCU